GAUUAAGUUAUUAAGGGCGCACGGUGGAUGCCUUGGCACUAGAAGCCGAUGAAGGACGUUACUAACGACGAUAUGCUUUGGGGAGCUGUAAGUAAGCUUUGAUCCAGAGAUUUCCGAAUGGGGAAACCCAGCAUGAGUUAUGUCAUGUUAUCGAUAUGUGAAUACAUAGCAUAUCAGAAGGCACACCCGGAGAACUGAAACAUCUUAGUACCCGGAGGAAGAGAAAGAAAAUUCGAUUCCCUUAGUAGCGGCGAGCGAAACGGGAAGAGCCCAAACCAACAAGCUUGCUUGUUGGGGUUGUAGGACACUCUAUACGGAGUUACAAAGGACGACAUUAGACGAAUCAUCUGGAAAGAUGAAUCAAAGAAGGUAAUAAUCCUGUAGUCGAAAAUGUUGUCUCUCUUGAGUGGAUCCUGAGUACGACGGAACACGUGAAAUUCCGUCGGAAUCUGGGAGGACCAUCUCCUAAGGCUAAAUACUCUCUAGUGACCGAUAGUGAACCAGUACCGUGAGGGAAAGGUGAAAAGCACCCCGGAAGGGGAGUGAAAUAGAACCUGAAACCGUGUGCUUACAAGUAGUCAGAGCCCGUUAAUGGGUGAUGGCGUGCCUUUUGUAGAAUGAACCGGCGAGUUACGAUUUGAUGCAAGGUUAAGCAGUAAAUGUGGAGCCGUAGCGAAAGCGAGUCUGAAUAGGGCGUUUAGUAUUUGGUCGUAGACCCGAAACCAGGUGAUCUACCCUUGGUCAGGUUGAAGUUCAGGUAACACUGAAUGGAGGACCGAACCGACUUACGUUGAAAAGUGAGCGGAUGAACUGAGGGUAGCGGAGAAAUUCCAAUCGAACCUGGAAAUAGCUGGUUCUCUCCGAAAUAGCUUUAGGGCUAGCCUCAAGUGAUGAUUAUUGGAGGUAGAGCACUGUUUGGACGAGGGGCCCCUCUCGGGUUACCGAAUUCAGACAAACUCCGAAUGCCAAUUAAUUUAACUUGGGAGUCAGAACAUGGGUGAUAAGGUCCGUGUUCGAAAGGGAAACAGCCCAGACCACCAGCUAAGGUCCCAAAAUAUAUGUUAAGUGGAAAAGGAUGUGGCGUUGCCCAGACAACUAGGAUGUUGGCUUAGAAGCAGCCAUCAUUUAAAGAGUGCGUAAUAGCUCACUAGUCGAGUGACACUGCGCCGAAAAUGUACCGGGGCUAAACAUAUUACCGAAGCUGUGGAUUGUCCUUUGGACAAUGGUAGGAGAGCGUUCUAAGGGCGUUGAAGCAUGAUCGUAAGGACAUGUGGAGCGCUUAGAAGUGAGAAUGCCGGUGUGAGUAGCGAAAGACGGGUGAGAAUCCCGUCCACCGAUUGACUAAGGUUUCCAGAGGAAGGCUCGUCCGCUCUGGGUUAGUCGGGUCCUAAGCUGAGGCCGACAGGCGUAGGCGAUGGAUAACAGGUUGAUAUUCCUGUACCACCUAUAAUCGUUUUAAUCGAUGGGGGGACGCAGUAGGAUAGGCGAAGCGUGCGAUUGGAUUGCACGUCUAAGCAGUAAGGCUGAGUAUUAGGCAAAUCCGGUACUCGUUAAGGCUGAGCUGUGAUGGGGAGAAGACAUUGAGUCUUCGAGUCGUUGAUUUCACACUGCCGAGAAAAGCCUCUAGAUAGAAAAUAGGUGCCCGUACCGCAAACCGACACAGGUAGUCAAGAUGAGAAUUCUAAGGUGAGCGAGCGAACUCUCGUUAAGGAACUCGGCAAAAUGACCCCGUAACUUCGGGAGAAGGGGUGCUCUUUAGGGUUAACGCCCAGAAGAGCCGCAGUGAAUAGGCCCAAGCGACUGUUUAUCAAAAACACAGGUCUCUGCUAAACCGUAAGGUGAUGUAUAGGGGCUGACGCCUGCCCGGUGCUGGAAGGUUAAGAGGAGUGGUUAGCUUCUGCGAAGCUACGAAUCGAAGCCCCAGUAAACGGCGGCCGUAACUAUAACGGUCCUAAGGUAGCGAAAUUCCUUGUCGGGUAAGUUCCGACCCGCACGAAAGGCGUAACGAUUUGGGCACUGUCUCAACGAGAGACUCGGUGAAAUCAUAGUACCUGUGAAGAUGCAGGUUACCCGCGACAGGACGGAAAGACCCCGUGGAGCUUUACUGUAGCCUGAUAUUGAAAUUCGGCACAGCUUGUACAGGAUAGGUAGGAGCCUUUGAAACGUGAGCGCUAGCUUACGUGGAGGCGCUGGUGGGAUACUACCCUAGCUGUGUUGGCUUUCUAACCCGCACCACUUAUCGUGGUGGGAGACAGUGUCAGGCGGGCAGUUUGACUGGGGCGGUCGCCUCCUAAAAGGUAACGGAGGCGCUCAAAGGUUCCCUCAGAAUGGUUGGAAAUCAUUCAUAGAGUGUAAAGACAUAAGGGAGCUUGACUGCGAGACCUACAAGUCGAGCAGGGUCGAAAGACGGACUUAGUGAUCCGGUGGUUCCGCAUGGAAGGGCCAUCGCUCAACGGAUAAAAGCUACCCCGGGGAUAACAGGCUUAUCUCCCCCAAGAGUUCACAUCGACGGGGAGGUUUGGCACCUCGAUGUCGGCUCAUCGCAUCCUGGGGCUGUAGUCGGUCCCAAGGGUUGGGCUGUUCGCCCAUUAAAGCGGUACGCGAGCUGGGUUCAGAACGUCGUGAGACAGUUCGGUCCCUAUCCGUCGUGGGCGUAGGAAAUUUGAGAGGAGCUGUCCUUAGUACGAGAGGACCGGGAUGGACAUACCUCUGGUGUACCAGUUGUCGUGCCAACGGCAUAGCUGGGUAGCUAUGUGUGGACGGGAUAAGUGCUGAAAGCAUCUAAGCAUGAAGCCCCCCUCAAGAUGAGAUUUCCCAACUUCGGUUAUAAGAUCCCUCAAAGAUGAUGAGGUUAAUAGGUUCGAGGUGGAAGCAUGGUGACAUGUGGAGCUGACGAAUACUAAUCGAUCGAAGACUUAAUCAA
rnacentral:rRNA from 1 species